rnacentral:miRNA from 1 species
CAGAAGUCGUGGCCUGGCACA